AAGUUCCCGAAGGGCUACUGAGAAAGACGCUUCUCGGUCAGGAUGGAAUUUCCAGCCCCGUAAAUCUGAGGGCCAGACCAUGACCUGGUCAAACACGAUCACCUUCUGUCUAGACUGGCAAAAGUAUUGAAGCAGCAUUCAAAUUCCGCCCCCAUUGCGGAACUUUGCCUUUGGAGAUGGUGGAGCGUCCCAGACCUUUGUCACACUGCUUGAGUCAUCUUUCGAGGCUCAAGGAGAGAGCUUAACGCUAUUUCUGAAAUUUCUAACAAGACGAUGAAAUGGACCAGCUCUGUCACCGUUCUUUUUGUCUGUCAUCCCUCUUUUGAGACAGUGACAGUUCUGAAUCUGAAGAUACCUUCUUCAGUCCCUGUGGGACACACCGAGAGAUUCCUCUGGGAGCAGACUCCCCAACUUGAAAAGCAGCCUGCAGAUGAGCAGGCGAAGCCCCUCAGACGCAGAACAGGAGCCUGAUGACCACCUGGCUUGAGGCUUUGCCUAUCGGGAUGGUGCUGAUGGAGAAGAGUGGACAGCACUGGAAGCUGGGAUUCCUCCAGACCGGGUGACUAGGGCAUUGUCUAUAAAGGUACACGCCGUUCACAGAUAAGAAAGCUGAGGCUAGGGUCAUGCGGUAAAGGAAGCCAACUCUGGAAAUGUGGGCCAGAGCCCUGACUCUGAACCACUGCACUGCUCUGCACUACUUCUAACAUUGGCUACUCAGUACAAGGACAAGAACGAAAAUACUGAAAUGUGGCAGGAUUUCUAACAGAAUGAAAGCCAAGAAACACUGAAAACACAGUCUUGAGAUUUCCGGUUUAAUUUCCAGGACAAAGAGAUUCAUUGUCGGUUUAUAUCAUCUCUGCUACAUGGAUACCUGGAUCAACAAAAGCUGGUGACCUCUGUGGGGUCACCCAGUGCCCCAUUUUGACUCUGAUUUUGUACUACUCUUCACAGUCGUGAAGUGCUGGGAUGAGGCCAGCCUUUCUUUACCACACUGGCUCCUAAUCAUUCCCAAAGGAAGAACUGGAAAAUAUUUGGGAUUUUUCUUCUAUACUUUCACAUUAGUUUAUUCUCAGAGCACUUAUCAUUUGUGUUUUGAGCCACAUGUUGAGUAAAGAUGGAAGAAGCAUUUAACCACUUUUGUUCCCUAAAGAGCAAUAUCAUAUUUUUGUUAGUAUA